rnacentral:rRNA from 1 species
AGUGAACGCUGGCGGUAGACCUAACACAUGCAAGUCGAACGGCAGCACAGUAAGAGCUUGCUCUUACGGGUGGCGAGUGGCGGACGGGUGAGGGAUACAUCGGAAUCUACUUUUUCGUGGGGGAUAACGUAGGGAAACUUACGCUAAUACCGCAUACGACCUACGGGUGAAAGCAGGGGAUCUUCGGACCUUGCGCGAUUGAAUGAGCCGAUGUCGGAUUAGCUAGUUGGCGGGGUAAAGGCCCACCAAGGCGACGAUCCGUAGCUGGUCUGAGAGGAUGAUCAGCCACACUGGAACUGAGACACGGUCCAGACUCCUACGGGAGGCAGCAGUGGGGAAUAUUGGACAAUGGGCGCAAGCCUGAUCCAGCCAUACCGCGUGGGUGAAGAAGGCCUUCGGGUUGUAAAGCCCUUUUGUUGGGAAAGAAAAGCAGCAGGUUAAUACCCCGCUGUUCUGACGGUACCCAAAGAAUAAGCACCGGCUAACUUCGUG